UAUUUUUCCUUAUUCAGAAUAAGAAAGAAUCAAGAAAGCCCUGUAGGUCAUGGAGUUGUUUCUGUUACACUUUUUUCCAGUGCGCACUGACUCUCAGAAUGGUAUUGCAAUGACCAAAUAAUCUGGAAAUUGCAAAGAAUUCUAAAAUAUAUAUCUAUAUGUGGGGGACUUCCAUGAGCUUUGCAAUUCAAAUAUACUUUCUUGUCCUUAGAAUCAGCAGGAAAAUCAGACCAUAUUACUCAUAGAAACACCAGUACAUAAUCAAAGCUUUCUGUGGAAAAAGACUUGCUAUAGCUUUGGAAUUUCAACAAAUGGUCUGGAGCCCCUGUCUCAUGAAUACAGGCUAACAGAGCUGUGGCUGCUCAGCCUGGAGAAAAGAAGGCUCCAGGGACACCUUCUAGCAACCUUCCAGCACAUGGAAAGAGCUUGCAAGAGAGCCAGAGAAUUGUCGUAAGGAAAAGGACAUGCAGUCAUAUUUUCCUGGGCACAGUUACCAUGGAGCUGUCAAUCAGAAGAACAGAGCCAUCACAG